ACAGGGUCUUAACUCUGUCACCCAGGCUGGAGUGCAGUGGUGUGACCACAGCCACUGCAGGCUCAACCUCUGGGACUCAGGUGAUCCUCCCAUCUCAGCCUCCCAAGUAGCUGGGACUACAGGUUGCUUCUUCCAGAUCCCUUUUGAUCUACUUUCAGCUAUGGAUUCAUGAGAAUCAAGACUAAGCAGCCUGAAUUGAAGGAGUAACAGUAUCACCUAACAAUGAUUUUGCUGCCAUAGUAGCUGUUUGUAUACUGGCCAUAUGCCUAGGUAAAAUGAGGCCAGAUCACUCUCAAGAGUUUUCUAUCAGAGUUGGUGGUGAACUACUGCUCACGGAUAAUGACGAGAAACCCCAGCUGAGGAGGCAAAUAUACUCAAGGAAAGUAAUAGUUUCCAAAUGCCUGGCAGUGCCAGGAAGGGGCCAUGUCCAUGGACCACUAUGUAAGGAUAUCUCAGUCUCUAGUCCAGCGUGGUUUAUGGUGCCAAAUAAGUGCCAGGUGAACUCACUACAUCUGACAAAAUCUCAAGGAACCAAGUUUACCAGAUAAUAUUUAUGAUUAUGUGAAAAAGACUGAGGAAAUCACUCAAGUGAUCCAUCAUACAGCACCUCCAGUUCCAAAGAAUACUGACUUACUUCAG